rnacentral:rRNA from 1 species
AGCGAACGCUGGCGGCAGGCCUAACACAUGCAAGUCGAACGAACUCUUCGGAGUUAGUGGCGGACGGGUGAGUAACACGUGGGAACGUGCCUUUAGGUUCGGAAUAACUCAGGGAAACUUGUGCUAAUACCGAAUGUGCCCUUCGGGGGAAAGAUUUAUCGCCUUUAGAGCGGCCCGCGUCUGAUUAGCUAGUUGGUGGGGUAAUGGCCCACCAAGGCUACGAUCAGUAGCUGGUCUGAGAGGAUGACCAGCCACAUUGGGACUGAGAAACGGCCCAAACUCCUACGGGAGGCAGCAGUGGGGAAUCUUGCGCAAUGGGCGAAAGCCUGACGCAGCCAUGCCGCGUGGAUGAUGAAGGUCUUAGGAUUGUAAAAUCCUUUCACCGGUGAAGAUAAUGACUGUAGCCGGAGAAGAAGCCCCGGCUAACUUCGUGCCAGCCGCCGCUGUAAUAC